rnacentral:rRNA from 1 species
AGCAGCCGCGGUAAUUCCAGCUCCAGUAGCGUAUAUUAAAGUUGUUGCAGUUAAAAAGCUCGUAGUUGAAUUUCGGGAUCAAUUAAUUGGUCGUGCCUCUGGUACGUACUGAUUUUAUUGGUUUCUCCCUUCUGACGAACCAUGAUGUCAUUAAUUUAGUGUCAUGGAGAAUCAGGACUGUUACUUUGAAAAAAAUUAGAGUGUUUAAAGCAAGCUAAACGCUUGAAUACAUUAGCAUGGAAUAAUGAAAUAGGACGUUUGAUCCUAUUUUGUUGGUUUCUAGGAUUGACGUAAUGAUUAAUAGGGAUAGUUGGGGGCAUUAGUAUUCAAUUGUCAGAGGUGAAAUUCUUGGAUUUAUUGAAGACUAACUACUGCGAAAGCAUUUGCCAAGGAUGUUUUCAUUAAUCAAGAACGAAAGUUAGGGGAUCGAAGACGAUCAGAUACCGUCGUAGUCUUAACCAUAAACUAUGCCGACUAGGGAUCGGAUGAUGUUAAUUUUUUAAUGACUCAUUU